rnacentral:tRNA from 1 species
UGGCGGGUAGUUCAAUUGGCAGAACGUCGGAUUUUGGUUCCGAAAGUUGGAGGUUCGAGCCCUCCCCCGCCAGCCA